CCUACGGGCGGCAGCAGUGGGGAAUAUUGGACAAUGGGGGCAACCCUGAUCCAGCCAUGCCGCGUGUGUGAAGAAGGCCCUCGGGUUGUAAAGCACUUUCAGUGAGGAAGAACGCCUGGUGGUUAAUACCCAUCAGGAAAGACAUCACUCACAGAAGAAGCACCGGCUAACUCCGUGCCAGCAGCCGCGGUAAUACGGAGGGUGCGGGCGUUAAUCGGAAUUACUGGGCGUAAAGCGCGCGUAGGUGGCUUGAUAAGCCGGUUGUGAAAGCCCCGGGCUCAACCUGGGAACGGCAUCCGGAACUGUCAAGCUAGAGUGCAGGAGAGGAAGGUAGAAUUCCCGGUGUAGCGGUGAAAUGCGUAGAGAUCGGGAGGAAUACCAGUGGCGAAGGCGGCCUUCUGGACUGACACUGACACUGAGGUGCGAAAGCGUGGGUAGCAAACAGGAUUAGAUACCCGAGUAGUC
rnacentral:rRNA from 1 species